CAUAUCAAUAACCCACAACCCAUCUUGCGAAAUCGACGAUUGUGAUUCAUCAUUCUCUUCUCAAAUUAAUAUCACAUAAAAGUGGAACGUUGGCGUUUUUCAUCAAAACCUGCCCAAGUUUCUGAGUUUGAUCAAGCUUCUGGAUCCAAAAAAGAAGACACGUUCGUAGUAGUUUAGCAUACAGAACGACAAAAGCAACCGGCAGACUAACAAUGACACAAGAAUCCUGAAAUUCUGGCCUAAUCAAUAGAUAACCGACAUAUAUGGAUUCCAGGCAUGGUAAAGUUAGAAUGAAUGUAGAAGGUGAUCGACUAAGCAACUUGCCAGACGAUCUUAUCCAUAAAAUCCUCUCUUUUAUUGACGUUAAACAUGCAAUUCAAACAAGUGCUUUGUCAUCUAGAUGGAGGUAUAUCUGGACUUCAAUGCCCUGUAUCGAUUUCUCAAGUGAGGGUUUCUAUAUGCUGUCUAAUUUCUCCAAAUUUGUUACACAUCUUCUGCCUAGCCGAAAUAAUCAAAUAGAUGUGUCUUCCGUAAAACUCACUUUUCAUGGAAACGAUAGCCAUGCCCAUGGAAAUGAUAUCCAGGUGCCGGUCAAAAAACUUUUGGACUAUGCAUUCUCCCACAAUGUCCAACAACUGAAUAUUUCUUGCCUGCGUGUAAAGAAAAUCGAAUUUCCUUGUUCGCUUUUUAGUUCUCAGUCUCUCAAACAUCUCACUUUGACUGGCUAUAGUUACAAACAUUUCAUCCUGACCCCACCCACUUGGGAGUUGCCGGCUUUAGCAACAUUAAAUCUCUGUUGUGUCACGUUCUAUGAUGACUGUAGUGACAAGCGUGUUGGUCUUUUCUCCAACUGUGCGAACUUGAAGAAUCUCACCUUAAAGAAUGUUACACUGGUCGGCUUGAAUGAAUUCGUUAUAUGCCAUCCUGGACUAUCAAGUCUAACACUCGAAGAUGGAUCUGAGCAUGUCAAUGUGGUUACACCUCAACUCAAGAAUCUCGUUAUAAAAUAUUGGCAACGGAUACAUCUGAUUUCCGCACCCAACCUUUCCUCCUUGCAUUAUGAACAUCAUUAUUAUAUUUUGGACAUUUCGGCAGACCUUCCCCAUUUGGAGAAGGUGGAUAUACGUAUUCUUAAUCUCUAUGUAGAUUUGGCAAAUUAUCAUAAAAUGGUGCCUCUCCUUCAACGGGUUCAUAGUGUCAAAUUUCUUACACUGAACUCGGAAAUUAUCGAGUUUCUUUCUUCAUCCGCGGAACUAAUCUCAAAUCAACCUUCUCCAUUUGCCAACUUAAAGAGUGUAAAGAUUUAUCCUUUUAGUGUUAGCGAGGAGGAUGAACCCGAACCAAAUGGAACUAUGUCUACUGAAGUAAAAAACUAUUUUCUAGAUCGUUCUCUAGGUGCGACCCUCACAAUGGUUUCACAUGAGGAGAUUAUAGCUGCGAUGAACGUUGUAUCAGCACACAAGCUUAUGAGAAAAUUGCAGGUGAUGUUAGAUCAGUUGAAAGAAAAUAGUGAAACAGACACGACUGAUAUGGAGCAAGUGGAAGUUGAGAACCAUAGGGCACACCAAGACAUGAAAGUGAAAUGGCAAUUUGGGGUAAGAAUGGCACAUAUCAAGAGCUAUUGGAAAGAUCUGAAUGAGCAGAUGGAGAACGGUUAUAAAACUACUGGUUGCAUAUGUUCAAUGUUGCAUAGGAUUAAAGGAGUACUGAGAAAGCUAAGCUGCAAACAAGGUUUUCUGGUUUGUGUCUGGAGGCUGACACACUCAUGGAUGAUAUGAUGGAUCGUAUGAAGGACCAAUGUGAUAAGAAACCGAGACGUUUGAAUGUCUACUUUCAUUAACUUACUACAACAUCACAGCCGCCUUCUUGACAAAUUGCUCCGUCUCCUUUUGGGAUGCUGAAGUUUAUAUUUCUUGUGCUUAUUGAUUUGAUGGUUCAAGAAUAUGUUUAUUUUGUACUUCGAAUGUCUUUGUCAUGUAAUAUCGCCAAAUAUGUUGAAAGGCUUAAAGAUUUUUGUAGUUAUGUUUA